UGAGCUUAACACGUUUAUGGUUAAGUGAGUUAAACGGAAGUGCAGGCUAAUGGCUCGGGGAAGCUGACACGCGGAUGAUGACGGCGAUGGCGUGAAGGUUGGAACGGAGAAGAAGAAGAAUUUGGUUCGCCGACGAUUCAAUCGGCGGUUGAUAGUGGCGAAUGUUUUAUGGAAGAGACGUUGGUGUUUGGUUUCAGUGAAUGACGGCCAUGGUGGUUACGUUCUUUCAUGGCGGUAUGUGAUGUGGGGGUGGUUUGUGAGUCACCAGCGAGCCUUUGAUAACGGUGAAGGUCGCGUUACCGGCGUUUGAAGGAGAUGGUCGUUUAGACGUGACGACGGCGAUGGCGUAUAAGGUGUUAUUUGGGGGCAGAAAAAUGUGCAAAGACGGAGGAGAUGAAGGGAGGAGGUAACAGUGGGAAGGAAGAGGAACAGUGGAAGAGUGAUGAUGUUCGGUGGAGAAGUGAAGGGAGGAGAAGAAGUGUCCAGGGAAAAACCAAAAGGCUUUUUUCUUCUUUUCUGUUUUAUAUUUUCAUUAUAUCCAAGAGAGAGUAGGCUAGUGUAGGCUUCUCUUUUUAUUUUCCACUUUUUCGUUUUCCCUUUUAUUGACAGUAUGUGAGUGGGUUCCAAUGAAUCUCCUUUUUGUCCACAGGAAAAGCCCCUUCCUUU
rnacentral:lncRNA from 1 species